rnacentral:tRNA from 1 species
AAGGGAGACCUAAUUCAGGUAGGAGACGAAAAAAUAGUAGUCCCAACCAAGAAUCAAUCCCAAAAGGUCGGAGCGAGGCGAAAUUGGCUUUCAAACUAGGUUCUGGGUUCAAACAAGACCUGAAUCAGGAACAAGGGCUAUUAGCUCAGGUGGUUAGAGCGCACCCCUGAUAAGGGUGAGGUCCCUGGUUCGAGUCCAGGAUGGCCCACCUGCACAGGUGGCAAAAACAAAGAAGAGGAGCUCCGAAUCAGCACCUUAUCUUAUCUAUAGAUAAGAGAGAAUGCUGGCUCUGAGUUCAGAGUCCAGAGGAACCUUGAAAACUGCAUAGAGCUAGGUGAAAAAGCCAAAAAAGAAGACCGCAA